rnacentral:rRNA from 1 species
AUUGAACGCUGGCGGCAUGCCUUACACAUGCAAGUCGAACGGUAACGGGCCUUCGGGUGCCGACGAGUGGCGAACGGGUGAGUAAUACAUCGGAACGUGCCCGAUCGUGGGGGAUAACGAGGCGAAAGCUUUGCUAUACCGCAUACGAUCUACGGAUGAAAGCAGGGGACCGCAAGGCCUUGCGCGGACGGAGCGGCCGAUGGCAGAUUAGGUAGUUGGUGGGAUAAAAGCUUACCAAGCCGACGAUCUGUAGCUGGUCUGAGAGGAUGAUCAGCCACACUGGGACUGAGACACGGCCCAGACUCCUACGGGAGGCAGCAGUGGGGAAUUUUGGACAAUGGGCGCAAGCCUGAUCCAGCCAUGCCGCGUGCAGGAUGAAGGCCUUCGGGUUGUAAACUGCUUUUGUACGGAACGAAAAGCCUUCUUUUAAUACAGGAGGGUCAUGACGGUACCGUAAGAAUAAGCACCGGCUAACUACGUG